rnacentral:rRNA from 1 species
GACGAACGCUGGCGGCGUGCUUAACACAUGCAAGUCGAACGGAAAGGCCCUGCUUUUGUGGGGUGCUCGAGUGGCGAACGGGUGAGUAACACGUGAGUAACCUGCCCUUGACUUUGGGAUAACUUCAGGAAACUGGGGCUAAUACCGGAUAGGAGCUCCUGCUGCAUGGUGGGGGUUGGAAAGUUUCGGCGGUUGGGGAUGGACUCGCGGCUUAUCAGCUGGUUGGUGGGGUAGUGGCUUACCAAGGCUUUGACGGGUAGCCGGCCUGAGAGGGUGACCGGCCACAUUGGGACUGAGAUACGGCCCAGACUCCUACGGGCGGCAGCAGUGGGGAAUAUUGCACAAUGGGCGGAAGCCUGAUGCAGCAACGCCGCGUGCGGGAUGACGGCCUUCGGGUUGUAAACCGCUUUCGCCUGUGACGAAGCGUGAGUGACGGUAAUGGGUAAAGAAGCACCGGCUAACUACGUG